CAAUAGCGUAUAUUAAUGUUGUUGCAGUUAAAAAGCUCGUAGUUGGAUUUCUGGUGGGAGCGGCCGGUCCGCCGUAAGGUGUGUACUUGGUUGUCUCCUGUCAUCCUUGUGGGAACUGCUCUGGCAUUAAGUUGUCGGGGUUAGGGAACACAUCGUUUACUGUGAAAAAAUUAGAGUGUUUAAAGCAGGCCUAUGCCGUUGAAUACAUUAGCAUGGAAUAAUAAGAUAGGACUUUGGCGUCUAUUUUGUUGGUUUGCACACCAAGGUAAUGAUUAAUAGGGAUAGUUGGGGGUAUUCGUAUUUAAUUGUCAGAGGUGAAAUUCUUGGAUUUAUGAAAGACGAACUUCUGCGAAAGCAUUUACCAAAGAUGUUUUCAUUAA
rnacentral:rRNA from 1 species